GCCAGGCGUUGUGGUGGGCGUCUGUAGUCACAGCUACUUGGGAGGCAGAGGCAGGAGACUCACUUGAGCCCAGGACUUGGAGGUUGCUGUGAGCUGUGAUGCCACAGCACUCUACCCAGGGUGAUAGCUUGAGGCUCUGUCUCAAAAAAAAAGAAAAUAUCUUUCUGACGUUAUUUUUUAUUUUUUAGUUUUUAUGAGACAGAGUCUCACUAUGUCGCCCUGGGUAGAGUGCGAUGGUGUCAUAGCUCACAGCAACCUCAAAUGCUUGGGCUUAAGUGAUUCUCUUGCCUCAG
rnacentral:SRP_RNA from 1 species